CCUCGGUAGUAUAGUGGUUAGUAUUCGCGCCUGUCACGUGCGAGACCCGGGUUCGAUUCCCCGACCGGGAG
rnacentral:tRNA from 1 species